GCGAAUGUAGUCAAGUGGACCAAGGAAAUGGAUUUUGAAUCCACUAUGUGCAGGUUCAAUUCCCAUCAUUCUCC
rnacentral:tRNA from 1 species